GACGAACGCUGGCGGCGUGCUUAACACAUGCAAGUCGAACGGUAAGGCCCUUCGGGGUACACGAGUGGCGAACGGGUGAGUAACACGUGGGUGAUCUGCCCUGCACUUCGGGAUAAGCCUGGGAAACUGGGUCUAAUACCGGAGAGGACCACUGCCUACAUGGGUGGUGGUGGAAAGCUUUUGCGGUGUGGGAUGGGCCCGCGGCCUAUCAGCUUGUUGGUGGGGUGAUGGCCUACCAAGGCGACGACGAGUAGCCGGCCUGGGAGGGUGACCGGCCACACUGGGACUGAGAUACGGCCCAGACUCCUACGGGAGGCAGCAGUGGGGAAUAUUGCACAAUGGGCGCAAGCCUGAUGCAGCGACGCCGCGUGAGGGAUGACGGCCUUCGGGUUGUAAACCUCUUUCAGCACCGACGAAGCGCAAGUGACGGUAGGUGCAGAAGAAGGACCGGCCAACUACGUGCCAGCCGCCGCCGUAA
rnacentral:rRNA from 1 species